rnacentral:lncRNA from 1 species
GUAAUAAUCGGUAACUAAAUAAAAUCAAGUGUUCUGCUAGACUCGUCGCUGAAAGGCUCGAGGAUAUUAAUAGGUCUCGGUUUGGUUAUAAGGACUUAACAUUCCAUUGUCUAUUAAGCCAAGAUUAAAACCCAUUGUCGCUUUAGACGUUCGCGCUGAAAGGUAGAGCGUCUUACAUAAGCACUUUCAAGAAACUAGAGGACGGAAAAGAAAUCUAGAAAACCGGUGAGCGUAACAGCCUAGGUAGUGCCAUAAGAAUCGCCUUGAGAGUGUUUGAGGGGCUUAGUGGUGUCUUAAUAGGUUUAGUAUCCAAAGAUCCCGGUUCCACACCACAAAAUCAUCGAAUAGAGAUCCAUUCUGAGUUUAGCUUGCGUCUAGCCUAGGCUAUACUGCAUCGAUCGGUACACUUACCGGUCAUGUGCCUAGGUAGUCUUCAUCUCCACUGGUCAAAGUCUUCGUUCGAGUUCGUGUUAGUUAUUUAGCUAA